UCCAGCUGUAAUUAACGCUUCCAACCAUUUACAGCCAAACAUAAAUAACGAACAUCGGGCUCAUUUGCCAGCCCUGCACACGCAGCAGGGGAGAUUUCCUGCAAGCCUAUGCCGCGGGCCGCCUCAGGGUGUCUCUGAAAGGCCAUGUUCUCUCAGUGGACAGGGGAGUGUGUCCCUGCUCAGCCAAGGGUACUGGGCACCGUGGAGGCCAGGAAAACCAGGAGGGUGGUGGUUCUUGAUCAUUUCAGGUAGCUCGUCCAGGGCUUGACAGAGUCCUGGGUUCCUCACAGCCAAUUGAGACAACCCACACAAGGAGACUCAGACCAGGCGGGGAGCUGGCCUCAUCUGGUUCAUUGAGAUCUAGGAAGUGAUGUUGGAGUCAGAAGAGGAGCCCUGGUCCACCACUGGAACGGGCAGCUGGUGAGAUGUAGUCUAAGGCCUGUAUAGUGUAACAGUGGCUGCAGAGACACUGUCACUGUGACUUAGAGUUUGCCCUUGCAACAAGAAACAGGGUAGUACGUUUGGGGACAUUUUGAUAAGAACUGUGCUUUGGGCCCAGAAUGCCCAGGGUGAGGUGGAUGUGGCAGGUGCUACACCUGAGAACUUGUGGACAAUCCUUCAAGCGCCCCAGGAGGGGGCCAUGAGCCUGUCCAGAGCAGCUGUGAAGGCCUGGAGGGCGGGGGACAGGCCACCCUCACAUGCCAGGGCUGGAGAGGGUACAAGACAGGCCCGGGGGAGGCGCUAGGAGGAACAGGGCAGCUGGAAAAGAAAGAGGUCUUCGGACAACACUGGCCCUACGCAGGCUCUCUGGCCCCACUGCCACCGCUGGAGGAGGAGCACUGAGGUCACUUCACAGAUGGGAAGACUGAGGCUCGGGCCCCAGCAGCGACCUCCCCGAGGCCAGUUCUAACUUGGCCUCCCAGCCAGCUCGCCAGGGCCUCCCCGCCCAUUUCCCGAGCUCAUCCCUGUCCACCAG
rnacentral:lncRNA from 1 species